rnacentral:rRNA from 1 species
UACAGAGGGGGCAAGCGUUGUUCGGAAUUACUGGGCGUAAAGGGCGCGUAGGCGGCCUGUUAAGUCGAACGUGAAAUCCCCGGGCUCAACCCGGGAACUGCGUCCGAUACUGGCAGGCUUGAAUUCGGGAGAGGGAUGUGGAAUUCCAGGUGUAGCGGUGAAAUGCGUAGAUAUUGGGAAGAACACCGGUGGCGAAGGCGGCUAUCUGGACCGACAUUGACGCUGAGGCGCGAAAGCGUGGGGAGCAAACAGG